GACGAACGCUGGCGGCGUGCUUAACACAUGCAAGUCGAACGGAAAGGCCCUGCUUUUGUGUGGUGCUCGAGUGGCGAACGGGUGAGUAACACGUGAGUAACCUGCCCUUGACUUUGGGAUAACUUCAGGAAACUGGGGCUAAUACCGGAUAGGAGCUCCUGCUGCAUGGUGGGGGUUGGAAAGUUUCGGCGGUUGGGGAUGGACUCGCGGCUUAUCAGCUUGUUGGUGGGGUAGUGGCUUACCAAGGCUGUGACGGGUAGCCUGCCUGAGAGGGUGACCGGCCACAUUGGGACUGAGAUACGGACCAGACUCCUACGGGAGGCAGCAGUGGGGAAUAUUGCACAAUGGGCGGAAGCCUGAUGCAGCAACGCCGCGUGCGGGAUGACGGCCUUCGGGUUGUAAACCGCUUUCGCCUGUGACGAAGCGUGAGUGACGGUAAUGGGUAAAGAAGCACCGGCUAACUACGUG
rnacentral:rRNA from 1 species